UGAUGCCCUCUGAACGCGGCGCCCGAAUGACGGCGUCACCAGCGAACAUAGAGCUAGGAAUGUUAGAGCCUCUCGGUGCAUUUCUUGGUAGGGAAAGGAAGCUUCCUGAAAUUCUGUUUUGAAAAAAUAAUUGGCAAGGAUAGAACGAGUAAAGGGAAAAGGUCGAAUAAGCUCCCAUAUCUUUACAAAUUGAAUAAGGAAAAGGGAUUCUUGUAAGUAUGACAUACAACAGUGAAGAACUAGCAAAACCUGCUUUCUUAAAGAUAAUGUGGUCUUGAAAAUAACGGUCUCGUCUUCCAUCAUUUUGAUCAGAGCUUUUAAAACUUUUCUACUCACAACACCUUUUCACCCAAUAAUUAUUUUACGUGACCCCCGUAACUUUAUUCCUAAAAUAGGGGUUAAAUCAAACAUUUGCUAAUAAGAAAUCAGUAUUUGCAAGGCUUGCUAAACAGGCUGAUUUCCUUUUUUAUGAAGUAUAGCUGAAGCAUCCUCUGCAGAGUGGACUGUAAACACUGCACAACAAAUUCAUGUAAAUGUUUAAGUGACAUUCAGAAAACUUACUGUUGCCAAAUUUUGGGACCCUAACAUUGAGCAAAGUGAACCCCAUUUGGGGUCACGACCCACAGUUUAAGAAGAAAUGCUUUUGGUCUCACUGUUUUAAAGGUCUUGAAUCCAACAUCUUUCCUAAAUUACAUAUAGGCACUAGUUCAAGGGAAUUAAGCACUAGUCUAAUAGCACUUUCAAGUCUUCUAUAGCUCAUCCGAAAUAUUUUGGGAAAGUACAGCCUCUUCACUGAAGAAUUCUGGAUGCUGUUAAAAGAUGUAAUGCACAUUGUAGGAUAUGGGAUAACAUUCCUAAACUGUUAAUCAUCUGUUAGAUUAUUUUGAAAAGACAACUUCACAAAUAAUAAAGCAUAACAAUAUAUGUUCCAAGACUAUUUUUUUUUUGUAUCAGGAGCGACUUGAGAAACUGCAAAUUGCUUCUGGUGUGAGAGAAUGGGCCGUCUGCAAGGAUGUUGCCCAUGGGAUGCCCGGAUGUUUUGAUUUUUUAACCAUCCUUGUGAGAGGCUUCUGUCGUCCCCACAUGGAGCUGGAGCUGACAGAGGGAGCUCAUCUGCGCUCUCCCUAGGUUGGAUUCGAACCAGCAACCUUCAGUUCAGCAACCCAACCUUCAAGUCAUCGGUCCUGCUUGCACAAGGGUUUAAGCCACUGUAACACUGGGGGCAGAUAAAGGCAAAUAGUGCAAUAUUAUGCAUCUGCAAAUGUACAUCUGAGUUUAGUGAGACAAACUCUCAGAUAAGUGUGCAUAGAAUUGCAACAAAAGUUACUUUUAUUAUCAAGUAACACAUAUCUACUGAAGUGGGGAAUGCCUGAAAUCUUAUGAUGACACACUGGAAUUUUGGCUGAGCACCUCCUGAGGAAGGAAAUUUCCCAGAAUAAAAUUAGCACAUUCA